UCUGAAUACCGUGGAGUGCGAGCUUGGGAGACAGACAUCGGGUGCUAACGUCCGGUGUCAAGAGGGAAACAACCCAGACCGCCGAUUAAGGUCCCAAAAGACAUAGUUAAGUGGGAAACGAAGUGGGAAGGCACAGACAGCCAGGAGGUUGGCUUAGAAGCAGCCAUCCUUUAAAGAAAGCGUAAUAGCUCACUGGUCGAGUCGUCCUGCGCGGAAGAUGUAACGGGGCUCAAACUAUGCACCGAAAUCGCGGAUAUGCGUAAGCAUAUGGUAGGAGAGCGUUCUGUAGGCCUGCGAAGGUGUUCCGUAAGGAAUGCUGGAGGUAUCAGAAGUGCGAAUGCUGACAUGAGUAGCGAUAAAGCGGGUGAAAGGCCCGCUCGCCGAAAGCCCAAGGUUUCCUGCGCAACGUUCAUCGGCGCAGGGUGAGUCGGCCCCUAAGGCGAGGCUGAAAAGCGUAGUCGAUGGGAAACAGGUUAAUAUUCCUGUACCUCUUUGUAAUGCGAUGGGGGG
rnacentral:rRNA from 1 species